rnacentral:rRNA from 2 species
GCGGCGUGCCUAAUACAUGCAAGUCGAGCGGACAUAUGGGAGCUUGCUCCCUGCUGUUGGCGGCGGACGGGUGAGUAACACGUGGGUAACCUGCCUGUCCUACUGGGAGAACUCCGGGAAACCGGGGCUAAUACCGGAUGCUUGAUUGAACCGCAUGGUUCAAUUAUAAAAGGUGGCUUUUACCUACCGCUUACUGAGGAACCCCCGGCGCAUUAUUUAGUUGGUGAGGGAACGGCUCCCCAAGGCGGCGAUGCUUAGCCGACCAGAUAGGGGGAUCGGCCGCCCUGGGACUGAUAAACGGCCCACACUCCUCCGGGAGGAAGCAGUAGGAAAUCUUCCUCAAUGGAGGAAAAUCUGACGAAGCAACACCGCGUGAGGGAUGAAGGUUUUCGGAUCAUAAAACUCUGUUGUUAGGAAAGAACAACUACCUUUCGAAUAGGGGGGAACCUUGACGGUACCUAACCAAAAAGCCCCGGCUAACAACGUGCCACCAGCCGCGGUAAAACAUAGGUGGCAAGCGUUUUCCGGAAUUUUUGGGGGUAAAGCGCGCGCAGGCGGUUUUUUAAAUCUGAGGUGAAAACCCCCGGCUCACCCGGUGAGGGUCAUUGGAAACUGGGGAACUUGAGU